CAGCUCAUAUGUUUGCAGCAGGGGACGACAGGAUGCUGUGUGAUGUUCCAUGCCAUGUUUCCAUCAUAUAAUGGAAGGAGACUCAAACAUGCAUUCCUAGUUCACUGGCAAAUCCUCAUGCCUAGCUGUAGCUCUGAGCAUUAUAAUCUGUGGUAUGAACAACGCAAGCGAACCUUCUCGAUGAGCUCGAUGCAGGCAGCCAGGUCCAUCCCAAAGUCGAUGAACUCCCACUCGAUGCCUUCCUUCUUGUACUCCUCCUGCUCCAGCACGAACAUGUGGUGGUUGAAAAACUGUUGCAGUUUCUCGUUGGUGAAGUUGAUGCACAGCUGCUCCAGGCUGUUGAA